ACCUGAAAGAUUUAUAUAACAACGGACUGAGCUAAAAACAGCUCAGCAAGUGACAAAGCAUAUUCAGAACAAAAGGAACGGUUUCAAACAAGUAAGAUAUCAUAAUGCAAGGCAGAAUACAAGAAUUCUCAAGGAUACCAUCUCAUUAGAUACAAAAUCAUAUGUGUCAUGUCAUUCAAAACAUAUUUGGUUCAUAACAAAUAGGGCAUAGAGUAAUUGGAGCAUAUCAAUAGCGUACG
rnacentral:lncRNA from 1 species